CCGGGGACUAGCCCGGGUGGUUCGACGUCACCUGUCACCUGAAACCGCCGGUACGCAGGGGGCGAAAUCCGAGGACGGCUCUGGCGACCUGCCGGAGACCGGUAUAUCCCGCCGAAGAAGCCUCGUCCCAUGAGGUCGACGGACAGGGAUCAAUGCUCCGGAGGGAGCUGCGACCUGUUGCCGCGGGGACCGGUUCAGGCCCGGAAGGGAGCAGACUUACCGUGGACGUUCGGCGCCCAUGGGGGCGCGGGGUGGAGAACGGAUUUCCGGUUGAACGCAGGCACGUGGUGUCAACCGAGGAUGUGUCCCCAC
rnacentral:SRP_RNA from 1 species